rnacentral:rRNA from 2 species
CCUGCCCACUGAUUUAUUAAAUGGCCGCAGUAAUUUAACUGUGCAAAGGUAGCAUAAUCAUUAGUUUUUUAAUUAAAAGCUUGUAUGAAGGGUUGGACGAAGUAAGAUCUGUCUCUAUUUAAUUUAUAGUAGAAUUUAAUUUUUAAGUUAAAAAGCUUAAAUUUAUAUAAAAGACGAGAAGACCCUAUAGAUCUUUAUAUUUUUAUAAAUAUUUUUAGUUAAGAAUAUUUUAUUUUUUAUUUAUAUAAGUAUUUUAUUGGGGUAAUAAAGAGAUUAAAUUAAUUCUUUUUUAUAUAGAAUAUUAAUUAAUAAAUAUAUGAUCCAAUAAUUUUGAUUAUAAGAUUAAGUUACCUUAGGGAUAACAGCGUAAUUUUUUUAGAGAGUUCAUAUCGAUAAAAAAGUUUGCGACCUCGAUGUUGGAUUAAAAAUUAUUU